CGCUGGCGGCGUGCCUAACACAUGCAAGUCAACUUGACUGAAGGAGCAAUCUGACAGUAGAGUGGCGCAAGGGUGCGUAACGCGUAAGUAACUUGCCCCAAGGUAAGGAAUAACGUCGAGAAAUCGGCGCUAAUACCUCAUAAUGCAGCGGAUCCGCAUGGAUAUGUUGUUAAAGGUUUACCGCCUUGGGAUAGGCUUGCGUCUGAUUAGCUAGUUGGUGUGGUAACGGCACACCAAGGCUACGAUCAGUAACUGGUCUGAGAGGAUGAUCAGUCACACUGGAACUGAGACACGGUCCAGACUCCUACGGGAGGCAGCAGUGAGGAAUAUUGGGCAAUGCUCGAAAGAGUGACCCAGCAACGCCGCGUGGAGGAUGAAGGUAUUCUAUAUCGUAAACUCCUGUGAGAGCAGACGAAAGACAGAUUAUUAAUCUGGAUGACUGUAUGCUCCAGAGGAAGCCCCGGCUAACUACGUG
rnacentral:rRNA from 1 species